GAAGGGGGCAUCUUCGUCAAUUCCUGUAGCUACAUGGAAUGCGCACAAUAUAUCAAUAUUUUGUGAUGUUUGCAUCAAGGAGGUUGAGGCCGGACAUCGUUCGGGCACUCACUUUGACAAAGAAGGAUAUGCAAAUAUUAGAGCUAACUUCAAGGCAGAGACAGGGCAUGAUUAUGAAAAAAAAGCAACUGAAAAAUAAGUGGGAUGCACUUAAAAAUGAGUAGAAGUUGUGGAAAGAGCUAGUUGGUAAAGAAACUGGCCUAGGGUGAAAUUCAAGCAAGGGUACCGUUGAUGCCUCUGAGGAGUGGUGGAACAAUAAAAUUCAAAUAAACAAAGAAUAUGGAAAAUUGCGAAAAAAGGCAUUAGUCCUGAGAUGGAGGACAAGUUAGAUAGGAUGUUCUUGAGUACAAUUGCUACCGGUGAACAUGCCUGGGCACCUUCAUCUGGAGUACGACCACCAGAGUCAAGAGAGGAAUCUGUAGGACAAAUUGAUUCAUAUGAUGAGGAAGAAACUGAGACUAUGCAGGAUCUAAGGCAAGCAAGUAGGAAGGGAA